rnacentral:rRNA from 1 species
AUUGAACGCUGGCGGCAGGCCUAACACAUGCAAGUCGAGCGAGCGGCGGACGGGUGAGUAAUGUAUGGGGACUGCCCGUUAGAGGGGGAUAAAUACUGGAAACGGUAGCCAAUACCCCAUAUUAUCGGAUAAUCCACUGGGGAUGAGCUAGUUGGUGAGGUAAUGGCUCACCUAGGCGACGAUCCCCAGCUGGGCUGAGAGGAUGACCAGCCACACGGGAACAGGGACACGGUCCAAACGCCUACGGAGGAAGCAGUGGGGAAGAUUGCACAAUGGGCGGAAGCCGGAUGCAGCCAUGCCGCGGGUAUGAAGGAGGCCUGCGGGUUGUAAAGCACUUUCAGCGAGGAGGCGUUACUCGCAGAAGAAGCACCGGCUAACUCCGUGCCAGCAGCCGCGGUAAUAC